rnacentral:rRNA from 1 species
CCUACGGGAGGCAGCAGUGAGGAAUAUUGGUCAAUGGGCGUAAGCCUGAACCAGCCAAGUCGCGUGAGGGAUGAAGGUUCUAGGGAUCGUAAACCUCUUUUAUAAGGGAAUAAAGUGUGGGACGUGUCCUGUUUUGAGUGUACCUUAUGAAUAAGGAUCGGCUAACUCCGUGCCAGCAGCCGCGGUAAUACGGAGGAUCCGAGCGUUAUCCGGAUUUAUUGGGUUUAAAGGGUGCGUAGGCGGCCUUUUAAGUCAGCGGUGAAAGUCUGUGGCUCAACCAAAGAAUUGCCGUUGAAACUGGUAGGCUUGAGUAUGUUAGAGGCAGGCGGAAUGCGUGGUGUAGCGGUGAAAUGCUUAGAUAUCACGCAGAACCUCGAUGGCGAAGGCAGCCUGCUGAGCCAUGACUGACGCUGAGGCACGAAAGCGUGGGGAUCAAACAGGAUUAGAUACCCGAGUAGUC